rnacentral:rRNA from 1 species
UACGGAGGGUGCAAGCAUUAAUCGGAUUUAUUGGGCGUAAAGGGCGCGUAGGCGGAGAUACAAGUCAGAUGUGAAAUCCCGGGGCUCAACCUCGGAACUGCAUUUGAAACUGUAUCCCUAGAGGGUAGGCGGAGAAAACGGAAUUCCACAAGUAGCGGUGAAAUGCGUAGAUAUGUGGAAGAACACCGGUGGCGAAGGCGGUUUUCUAGCUUAUUCCUGACGCUGAUGCGCGAAAGCAAGGGGAUCAAACAGG